rnacentral:rRNA from 1 species
AUUGAACGCUGGCGGCAUGCCUUACACAUGCAAGUCGAACGGCAGCACGGGUGCUUGCCCCUGGUGGCGAGUGGCGAACGGGUGAGUAAUACAUCGGAACAUGUCCUGUAGUGGGGGAUAGCCCGGCGAAAGCCGGAUUAAUACCGCAUACGAUCUACGGAUGAAAGCGGGGGACCUUCGGGCCUCGCGCUAUAGGGUUGGCCGAUGGCUGAUUAGCUAGUUGGUGGGGUAAAGGCCUACUAAGGCGACGAUCAGUAGCUGGUCUGAGAGGACGACCAGCCACACUGGGACUGAGACACGGCCCAGACUCCUACGGGAGGCAGCAGUGGGGAAUUUUGGACAAUGGGCGAAAGCCUGAUCCAGCAAUGCCGCGUGUGUGAAGAAGGCCUUCGGGUUGUAAAGCACUUUUGUCCGGAAAGAAAUCCUUGGCCCUAAUACGGUCGGGGGAUGACGGUACCGGAAGAAUAAGCACCGGCUAACUACGUG